UACGGGGGGGGGUAAGCGUUGUUCGGAAUUACUGGGCGUAAAGGGCUCGUAGGCGGCCAACUAAGUCAGACGUGAAAUCCCUCAGCUUAACUGGGGAACUGCGUCUGAUACUGGAUGGCUUGGAUCCGGAAGAGGGAUGCGGAAUUCCAGGUGUAGCGGUGAAAUGCGUAGAUAUCUGGAGGAACACCGGUGGCGAAGGCGGCAUCCUGGACCGGUAUUGACGCUGAGGCGCGAAAGCUAGGGGAGCAAACGGG
rnacentral:rRNA from 1 species